rnacentral:rRNA from 1 species
GACGAACGCUGGCGGCGUGCCUAAUAAAUGCAAGUCGAGCGGAAGUUGGAGAGCUUGCUCUUCAACUUUAGCGGCGGACGGGUGAGUAACACGUGGGCAACCUGCCCUGCAGAUCGGGAUAACUCCGGGAAACCGGUGCUAAUACCGAAUAGUUUUCGCCACCUCCUGGUGGCGUACGGAAAGACGGUUUCGGCUGUCACUGCAGGAUGGGUCCGCGGCGCAUUAGUUAGUUGGUGGGGUAACGGCCCACCAAGGCAACGAUGCGUAGCCGACGUGAGAGGGUGAUCGGCCACACUGGGACUGAGAGACGGCGCAGACUCCUAGGGGAGGCAGCAGUAGGGGAUCUUCCGGAAUGGGCGAAAGUCUGACGGAGCAACGCCGCGUGAGUGAAGAAGGUUUUCGGAUCGUAAAACUCUGUUGUGAGGGAAGAACAAGUACCAACUAACUACUGGUACCUUGACGGUACCUCACCAGAAAGCCACGGCUAACUACGUGCCAGCAGCCGCGGUAACAC